rnacentral:lncRNA from 1 species
GGUGUUAGUUUGGGUGAGGAAAAGAAUUAUCUCCUGUCGCGCAAUAACACAUUAAACACGUACUGUAAGUUCCAACACCGGACUGUGGAAUGGGGCAAUUCAAAGGCAUCUCCAGCGCGGUGGCGCAGCACAUGCAGAGGAGGAGAGGGAGGGAGGGAGGGGGGUAGUUUGCUCACAGAUAAGCCCCCACAGCCCCGGUGACGUCGCUGACACUUCUCACUCCGACUGUCUUCAUUAAACCCCAAACUGUUCCGUGUGUAUUUGCAAGACGCCGCUGCCCCCGCCGCGCGUCGUCGUCGCCACUCGCCACUCCAGCCGCAGGAGUUGCCACACACACACACACACACACACACACAGAGAACACUCCGGGGCAAUCCGCGUUGAGCCGCGGUCGCCACCGUUUAUAGCCUCGCUGGUGCACGAACAAAUCCUGUUAUGAGAUUUAAACUUCGCCUCGGCGAGACCGGAGGAUCAACGCGCGCGCCUGCCCGCAGCCCGUCCGACUGAUCGCGGCUGUGCGCCCCGCCGCACACCGACCCAGCCCGCCGCCCUCCGACACCCGCCUCCGAUGAUCGUGGUCAGCCGGCCGGCGUCAGCUCUCGGCGCGACGGGGGAGUCGAAGCGGGGCUCCGGGUGUCGUUCGGCGCGGGGCCACACAUAGACGAGCCGCUGCAGAGGAGCUCGGCGCCGCAUUAAGAACAGAACCACUCGCGGCCAAAUGGAUCUGUGAGACUUGUCCCCUUGACGCAGUCGGCCGCCGCUCCGCGCGCCUCCACUCGGCACAAACACAAAACUGGGAUUCUUCCUUUUUCCUUUUCUUCUCAUCCCCCCCACACCUUUCAGUUUCUAUUCCAUCGUCUACAAUCCAACAGAAGAAGAAGAGGAGGAAGAAGAAACAGAAAAGCAAGUCUCGUGUGUUGGUGGUGACAUACACGGAGCUGCCAGCUUUGCACCGGGGAGAAGCUCCUGCUGCGCUCCGACAUCGUCGAGGCAGAGUUGAAGAGGAGGACUUAAAGAACAUCUGUACGGAUGGAGGACGCCAGGGAUGCUCUCCGCCGCUGACGACUUCAACCUAGAGUACAGAGGUUCUUCCCCCAUGCACAUGAAAGAGACACAGCAAGGAAGACAGUGGCAAAAACAUGAGACCAUUUAAUGAUGGUAACCUCUAAGGAGAAACGCACAAGUCAACCUGAGGUGCUGAAAUCUCUUUUAAACCACACUACAGUUGCCUGCAGGCAAACCUUGAUGAAAGAAACACAGAAUAAAGGCAGAUACUCAACAUUCUUCUGAUUGGUACAUGGGGACAACACCAUCCAUCAAUGAAGAGGAACCAAAUAAAAGGACUGUGUCUGACCCUGAGAACAGUUGAACAUCCCGCUGAUUUUCCGACAGAAUCGUCUCAGCUGUGCUGAAAUCACAGCGGCAUCACUCUCUUAUC